UACAGAGGGUGCGAGCGUUAAUCGGAAUUAUUGGGCGUAAAGCGCGCGUAGGCGGUUACUUAAGUCGGAUGUGAAAGCCCUCGGCUUAACUGAGGAAGUGCACCCGAAACUGAGUAGCUAGAGUACGAAAGAGGGUCGCGGAAUUCCCGGUGUAGAGGUGAAAUUCGUAGAUAUCAAGAGGAACACCAGUGGCGAAAGCGGCGACCUGGGUCGAGACUGACGCUGAGGCGCGAAAGCGUGGGGAGCAAACAGG
rnacentral:rRNA from 1 species